rnacentral:rRNA from 1 species
UACGAAGGUCCCAAGCGUUGCUCGGAAUCACUGGGCGUAAAGGGUGCGUAGGCGGGUCUUUAAGUCAGGGGUGAAAUCCUGGAGCUCAACUCCAGAACUGCCUUUGAUACUGAAGAUCUUGAGUUCGGGAGAGGUGAGUGGAACUGCGAGUGUAGAGGUGAAAUUCGUAGAUAUUCGCAAGAACACCAGUGGCGAAGGCGGCUCACUGGCCCGAUACUGACGCUGAGGCACGAAAGCGUGGGGAGCAAACAGG